rnacentral:rRNA from 1 species
CGGACGGGUGAGUAAUGUCUGGGAAACUGCCUGAUGGAGGGGGGUAACUACUGGAAACGGUAGCUAAUACCGCAUAACGUCGCAAGACCAAAGAGGGGGACCUUAGGGCCUCUUGCCAUCGGAUGUGCCCAGAUGGGAUUAGCUUGUUGGUGGGGUAACGGCUCACCAAGGCGACGAUCCCUAGCUGGUCUGAGAGGAUGACCAGCCACACUGGAACUGAGACACGGCCCAG